GAAAGCUACGUCUCAGGGGAGCUCACCUUCGAGUCCAGCUUCCUGCACCUCUUCAGGCCAGAACCCAGAAGCUGCCCAAAUGGUCAUCAGUAGGAAAUUGGAAUGAUUGGUGGUGAUGGAGGCCGCUCUGCAGCAAGGAUGAGCCACUGCUCCACACACCAACAUGGAGGAAUCUUCCAGACAUCAGGUUGAGUGAAAGAUGUCGGAGACAGAAUAUACUCUCAGGAGCUGUGUCCCACUGCCCUGGGCCUCCUCCAAAUCAGGGAUCUCCACGGUCGCACAGCACACGUAGAGCCCAUUGUCAUUGAGGCUCACGUGGUCCAGCUGCAGGGUG